rnacentral:rRNA from 1 species
UACAGAGGGUGCAAGCGUUUAAUCGGAAUUACUGGGCGUAAAGCGUGCGUAGACGGUUACAUAAGUCGGGUGUGAAAGCCCCGGGCUCAACCUGGGAAUUGCAUUCGAGACUGCGUAGCUAGGGUGCGGAAGAGGGAAGCGGAAUUUCCGGUGUAGCGGUGAAAUGCGUAGAUAUCGGAAGGAACACCAGUGGCGAAAGCGGCUUCCUGGUCCAGCACCGACGUUCAGGCACGAAAGCGUGGGGAGCAAACAGG